AACGUAGGUGGCGAGCGUUAUCCGGAAUUACUGGGCGUAAAGCGCGUGUAGGCUGCUUCGCAAGUCGGGUGUGAAAGCCCUGGGCUCAACCUAGGAACUGCACUCGAAACUGCGAAGCUUGAGUCCUGGAGAGGAAGGCGGAAUUCUCGGUGUAGAGGUGAAAUUCGUAGAUAUCGAGAGGAACACCGGUGGCGAAGGCGGCCUUCUGGACAGUGACUGACGCUGAGACGCGAAAGCGUGGGGAGCAAACAGG
rnacentral:rRNA from 1 species